rnacentral:tRNA from 1 species
AUAAACAUAGUAUAAAUUAAUACAUUUCAUUUACACUGAAAAUAUACUUAGCUAAAUAAGUUGUUUUUA